GAUGAACGCUGACAGAAUGCUUAACACAUGCAAGUCAACUGUGGCGGACGGGUGAGUAACGCGUAAAGAACUUGCCUCACAGCUAGGGACAACAUUUGGAAACGAAUGCUAAUACCUGAUACUGUGAGAGAGCUUUGCGUCCCAUUAGCAAGUUGGGGAGGUAACGGCUCACCAAGGCGAUGAUGGGUAGCCGGCCUGAGAGGGUGAUAGGCCACAAGGGGACUGGGAAACGGCCCUUACGGAUACGGGAGGCAGCAGUGGGGAAUAUUGGACAACAGACCAAAGUCUGAUGAAGCCAUUCGGUGUGCACGAUGAAUUUGUCGGAAUGUAAAGUGCUUUGAGUUGGGAAGCGGUACCAACAGAAGAAGUGACGGCUAAAUACGUGCCAGCAGCCGCGGUAAUUC
rnacentral:rRNA from 1 species